UUAUCAAGUUACCCACAAACCGAGAUUGGAAAGUACUGUCAAAUUGUUAUGAAACAGGCGGAAAACUAAGUUUUAAUUUUUCCAUAUAAAGUUAUCCAUCCCAAUCUGCAGUCAUUUCGACAAUAAAAUUCAAGAUGAAUUUCAGACAAGCUUUGUUUAUCGCUGUGAUUUUGGCAUGUUUGGGUGUGUCUAUGGCCCAGCCUAAGUAUGGCAGAAUAAUAUCAAUCAGCAGUGUAUUCAAAAAGAUUCGUCGAUUUUUCUGCGGCGUUGCCUUGCCUUUAGUGAAACCAUUACUAAGGAUGAUCAAGGUUGAUAUUUUUGCAGACCUCAUCUGUAGCAACAACGACUGAUAAAGAUAAUAAUUAAUGUUAAUAAUCUUAACUUAUCUUCUUCUUCUUAGAAGAAUCUUAACUUAUCUCAAUCAUAGAAUGAUAUUUGAUUAUAUAAUGGCAAUAUCAAUGAUUUGAAUCAUUUACUUAUGUGUUUGUUUUGUUUGUUGAAACGUCAUGUUAAUUAUUAAAAUAUUCUUCUAA